rnacentral:rRNA from 1 species
UACGUAGGGUGCGAGCGUUGUCCGGAAUUAUUGGGCGUAAAGAGCUCGUAGGCGGUUCAGCAAGUCGGGUGUGAAAACUCUGGGCUCAACCCAGAGAUGCCACCCGAUACUGCUGUGACUAGAGUCCGGUAGGGGAGUGGGGAAUUCCUGGUGUAGCGGUGAAAUGCGCAGAUAUCAGGAGGAACACCGGUGGCGAAGGCGCCACUCUGGGCCGGCACUGACGCUGAGGAGCGAAAGCGUGGGUAGCAAACAGG